rnacentral:misc_RNA from 1 species
GAAAGGCAUAGAUAGGACGGUGGGCAGAAUAUGCAGAAACUCCUCUGACAGAAACAUGAAGGAUAGAACAAACUAAUUGGUAUAGCAAGGACACAAUCUGCAAACUAAAAGAGGACCAGGCCUGUGGAAAACAUAAUAUAUGAUUAAGAUACUGCUCGGAAAGUGGUUAUGGGGACUACCUUAAAUCCCAGACUUCUUAUGGAAACAAAAUAUCUCAGAGAAAUUU